rnacentral:rRNA from 1 species
AGUAACACGUGGAUAACCUACCUAUAAGACUGGGAUAACUUCGGGAAACCGGAGCUAAUACCGGAUAAUAUUUUGAACCGCAUGGUUCAAAAGUGAAAGACGGUCUUGCUGUCACUUAUAGAUGGAUCCGCGCUGCAUUAGCUAGUUGGUAAGGUAACGGCUUACCAAGGCAAUGAUGCAUAGCCGACCUGAGAGGGUGAUCGGCCACACUGGAACUGAGACACGGUCCAG